rnacentral:lncRNA from 1 species
GAAUACUUUACUAGUGUUUGCACAAGUUCAUGUUAUAUGAGAAGAGUACCAUAAAGCUUUAAAUAUACAAUUCUACUUGUGCUCAAAUGAGAAGUCUCCAUCGCAAUAAAAAGUAAUAAAGCAUAUAUUUCAGGACACCGACACAUUUAUUUUAACAAGCAGUCAAUUUCACAUUUCAAAAUGCAUUAAAUCCAAAUUUCACUAUUCAAAUUCCCGUUUCUCUUUCCUUACGAUGAUAACAUUUCUUCUUUAAUUAUGACAUUCUUCUAUCCUCCCAC